rnacentral:rRNA from 1 species
GGGAAUCUCAGAAGCUAAGCAGAGUAGGGCCUGUUUAGUACUUGGAUGGAAGACCACCCUGGGAAUCCCAGGUGCCGUAAGCG